AAAGAGGAAAGGGGAGUGAGAAAAGGGGGAUCAAAUGGGAUAGAGGUUUGUUUUGUUCUCUCCUCUCUAUCUGUUGAAGGUUCCUGGCUGAUGCAGCCUGUUGUUUAAUCUCAGCAGGCACCAUGGCUCGGUGUGAGGCUGCGUGGUCAGGAAAAAGGCACUCCAGUGCAGAGAGACUUCAAACACAGCCAGGGUGUCAGAGGGUGACUCAACACAUACAAAGUUCCUCCUCAGGAGCAAUAAUGAAGUAUUUUGGUCAUGAUGCUGACACAACCAGAGAUGAUGAAAGCGCUGCUCCAAUGGUAACCUUUGAUGAAUGCCAACCAACUUCUUCUGUUUCGGAGAUCUCUUCUCCACCUCCACCAACUGAUCCUGCUCAGAGGCCAUCAAAUCUGUCUGACCAAGUAAAGACCAACUUGGUUUUUAGGGGUCCUUGAUUUUAAUAUACUGCCGAUCUGAACCUUUUGAAUCUUACAUAUGUGUUGUACUGAAGGUGUUUUGCUCUUUACAUUGGUAGUUCUUCAGACUGUGAUGAAAUAUUAUCACUUUUUUUCUGUGUUAAUACGACAGGUUUGGAGUCACGUCCUUAUAUACAGUCUAUGGGACAAACACAGUUAAUGCCAUUUUAGAGUUUUACUUUGAAUGUUUCAGAGAGUGUAUUUUAUUAGCAGUAAAAGAACUGUGGCCCGUCAUGUUGCUAGAGGUACAAAUAAAAUGUAUAAGGGUUAUAAUUGCAUACAGUAGCUGGUUGUAUGAAUACUUCACCUUCUAUCUACUGCUAGGCAGGGUCCUCAAAAUUAUCCUGCUCAGGCCCCCAGGUGUACAUGGCCGGUAUUAUGGUUAUAGUAACAUUUAUUCAUAAUAUCAAAACGAGAAGCAAAGAGAGAUCAUCAAACAGCAACCCGGCCUAAACAAGAUGUUGAUUAGA